rnacentral:misc_RNA from 1 species
UACGAAGGGUGCAAGCGUUAUUCGGAAUUACUGGGCGUAAAGAGUGUGUAGACGGUGUAUUAAGUCUGCUGUUAAAUAUUCCGGCCUAACCGGAAAGAUGCGGUGGAAACUGAUAUGCUAGAGGAUGGAAGAGAGAAGUGGAAUUCCCGGAGUAGCGGUAAAAUGCGUAGAUCUCGGGAGGAACACCAAUGGCGAAGGCAGCUUCUUGGUCCAUUCCUGACGUUGAGACACGAAAGCGUGGGGAGCAAACAGG